rnacentral:tRNA from 1 species
GCCUCCGUGUUGUAAUGGUUAGCACACUCGGCGCAUAUUCGAGAGUUCCAGGUUCGAAUCCCGGCGACGGCA